GGGAGUUCUUAUAAUGAAAGGAAGCUGUGCUACUUUGCGCAAUGCUGUAUGAACUUUCUUACCCGCAAAACAACAUCUAUCACUCGAGUGAAUGGAAUCAAAAUCAGGUUGCAUUGUAUUAGUACUGCAACUUUCUAGAAAAAAAACUUUGAUCACAGCUUGGUACAAAAAGCCGCAUAAAAUAGCUGAGUUAUGUUGGCGAAGAUCCUAGUGGAUUUGGACACGCAAACCGUAAAGAGAGCCAAAUCGACACGAGGAAACCCGUUGACACGAAGCUUGACUUCACAUGACCGAACCGACCGGACAAUCUGCGUGAUGUGACCGUCAGACCUGAAGAACAUCGGAAGAAAACGGAAUGGCCCGUGGGAUGAACUAUCCUGAACGAUUCUAUUUGACGGACCAGCGACAAUUUAGAUUAUUACGAUUUAAGCUCUCACCCAAGAAUACAUCUCGAUGAUAAGCAACCCUCCAACUUCUGCUGCGAUUUCACCACCAUCUUUAUUUUUCAUAACUAAAAGCUGACAAAUAUGUUACACUUGUUGCCUAAAAAUACCAUUCAAGUGCCCUCACCCCCAAAAUAUAUUGCUUACCGCUGGUGUGUAUCAUUUACUGGUGAGCUACAUGCUUGUGUUGUGUUGUCGAAAACAUUGAUAACAUUAUUUUCCCAUAGGGUCUUUCAAAGUCUGCCGAAUUGUUUGACCCUGAAAUUGUUUUCAUUAAACGUACGGUUGUGCAAACGAUUCUAAUCAAAUUUAUUAUCGGAUGUUAUUUCAAUCUGCUCAAAAUCUAUGGGGAAUGACAAAUCUUGCCUAUAAUACGUCUAAGUUGAAUAUGUAUCUUAUAAUAAUCCUUAUGUUAUGCAUUAUCAUGUCUGUACUUAUCUAUGCGUGUGAUUGCCAAGUAUUAUUCUCUUUCCGACAUGUGUAUACGCAGCCCCAGGAAUUUGAUUGAUGUUCAACAAUUACCGAAAUACAAUCGAUUCCUAUACCUUUUCCAGUCACUUUCCAGUAAGGUACGGUGUGGCGAAACCGUUUCCAGGGCCAUGGGUUUUGACCACAAUCGGGUUUAUGGCAGUCUGUGCCUUUACUUUCUAGAACAUACCGAGUCUCCGAUGAAUGGAAGCAAUUAAUGACCUCUACUAUAGCAAAGGGGAACGUAACUGGUUAGUAAGAGCUGGAAACAUAUACAGUACCUUCGUCUAAUUGUUUGUGUACAGUGGUCAAGAGCAAUCUGUUACUAUUGACAGACACCUGCUUUGGUUCUGUCGCGCAUUCACCAAUAAAUACACAAACAGAACAAUACUAUUGAAAGGAUUGUAGAAAGCUUGGUUCGCGAAUCUCAUCCAGGCAUAGAGUACACACCGGUAAGAUUUCACUACCAGAAACUCUGGAGAUAUUUGUUUAUAAAUGUUCUCACAUCCACCAUCCAGUAUUGGAGGUGAAACAUUCACAUACUCCACUGUUGUGAGUCACUUAAUAUGGUGUCUGAUCAAAUGCAAUCCGUACU